ensembl:lncRNA
CCCUGCCCCCCCUCAUCUCCAGUCUCGUCCGCAGACCCUCAGUCCGGGACCACUCAGCUCCUUUGCUGUUCCACGGACAUCACUCAGAACCCGAACCCUCACCCGUCCUAAGGAAGACGAAGCCCUCCCCCUGGGACCUGGACCCCUCUCCCUCAGCCCUGAUAGGAAGUCACUGCAAUGAGUACCAUGAUCCCCCAAACCAUCAACCAGUCCCUCCGGCCCGGCCGUGACCCCACGCCUCUGAGAACUCCUUCCAUCAGGCCACUACCCAGAAAGCCCAGCUCUGACCCCGCAGCACCUGCCAACCACCGCCCCGUCUCCAUGAACUGGACGCGCCCGUCGGCAUUGAAUGACUUUCGAAUGCUACGCUGAUGACACCCAACUCUACAUCAAAACAAAGCCAACUCCCUCUGCAGAAAAAUAAAGAUAUUCAAUAUUUUCCCAUCUUCUGUCAUCCGAAAAAAAAAAAAAUGAUAUUAGUGACUUAAUCAUAAAAGAAUUACGGGAACUGUCCAAGGCAGGCCACUCGAGGGCAGUGAGGCCGUUUUUUCCAGAUUGAGUUUGAUAGACAGAUAGCAGCAGGAUUACCAAUCUAUAUAAUGCAUUGAUUAAGUUACAGCAGCAUUUUGUGACAUUGCUCCCCGAAUGCACUUUGGGGAAAACACUGAUGCGUGGGUUUUAGGCUAUUACAUAUGCAUGACAGUAGGUGGCAGUCCCAGGUCGCUAGAGGACCACGAGAUUUAGAGUUAACGCAUGCUAAUCGAGAGGUUUAUACUCCUAACAAGAAGAUAUGUUUCAACAUUUGAUAAUUAAAACACAACAUUGUGUGUGUGUGUGUGUGUGUGUGUGUGUGUGUGUGUGUGUGUGUGUGUGUGUGUGUGUGUGUGUGUGUGUGUGUGUGUGUGUGUGUGUGUGUGUGUGUGUGUGUGUGAGUGAGUGAGUGAGUGAGUGAGUGAGAGAGUCUGUCUGUGUUUAUGUAUGUGUGUUAUGGCAGAUUUUUAUUCUUUCUAUUUAUCUAUAAUUUUCUUCUCUUUAGUGCCAGUCAUUAAUUUACUAAAGUCUUAAAUCCCAGAGGAGUUAAGACUUGCCCCAACUCUGAGCACCUUUAAAACAAGACUGAAGACUUUUAUGUUUGCUAUAGCUUUCUGCUAAAUAACUUUGCCUUUAUUUUCUAUUUUAAUACUAAAAUGCCUUUUUAACUCUCUAUUUUUUUUUUUGCAUAUGUUUUUCUUUUACUUACCUAUUAUUUUAUUUAAUUGUAUGACAAUGUUUAUACGUGAAGCACUUUGAGUCUGCCUUGUGUAUGAAAAGUGCUAUAUAAAUAAAGUUGCCUUGCCUAAAAA